CUUGAUCGAACCCAGCAGGAGCGGCUGUUCGCGGUCCUGCCCGUAGGUGGCCAGCAGUGCCUGCGCCUC
rnacentral:antisense_RNA from 1 species